GAUGAACGCUGGCGGCGUGCCUAAUACAUGCAAGUCGAGCGAACGGACGAGAAGCUUGCUUUUCUGAUGUUAGCGGCGGACGGGUGAGUAACACGUGGAUAACCUACCUAUAAGACUGGGAUAACUUCGGGAAACCGGAGCUAAUACCGGAUAAUAUUUUGAACCGAAUGGUUCAAAAGUGAAAGACGGUCUUGCUGUCACUUAUAGAUGGAUCCGCGCUGCAUUAGCUAGUUGGUAAGGUAACGGCUUAUCAAGGCAACGAUGCAUAGCCGACCUGAUAGGGUGAUCGGCCACACUGGAACUGAGCCACGGUCCAGGCUCCUGCGGGAGGCAGCAGUAGGGAAUCGUCCGCAAAGGGCGGAAGCCUGACGGAGCAACGCCGCGUGAGUGAUGAAGGUCUUCGGAUCGUAAAACUCUGUUAUUAGGGAAGAACAUAUGUGUAAGUAACUGUGCACGUCUUGACGGUACCUAAUCAGAAAGCCACGGCUAACUACGUG
rnacentral:rRNA from 1 species